rnacentral:rRNA from 1 species
UACGUGGGGGAGCAAGCGUUGUCCGGAAUCAUUGGGCGUAAAGCGCGCGUAGGUGGCCCCAUAAGUCCGCUGUGAAAGUCAAAGGCUCAACCUUUGAAAGCCGGUGGAUACUGUGGGACUAGAGUACGGAAGAGGCGAGUGGAAUUCCUGGUGUAGCGGUGGAAUGCGCAGAUAUCAGGAGGAACACCAAUAGCGAAGGCAGCUCGCUGGGACGUUACUGACACUGAGGCGCGAAAGCGUGGGGGAGCGAACAGG